AGGAGCGCGCAUGAGCGGACGCUGCCUACUGGUGGCCGGGCGGGAUGUAACCGGCUGCUGAGCUGGCAGUUCUGUGUCGCUAGGCUUCUGCCCGGCCGCCGCCGCACAUAAGCCACGAGGAGGAGCUUUACGACUUCCCGGUCUUCGGCGCCGGGCGCAGCAAGGGCCAGACUCUGCGCUAGCAGGCGCUGCGCGCCAACCGGCCGGCACCUGUCGCAGAAGGUGCAACCGAUCGCACUGUCGCGCAGAAGCUCCUCAAUGGCCAGCGCCAGCUGCAGCCCCGGCCGCCCACUCGCCUCAUCUGAGCCUGGGCAAAUCUGGAUUGGGAAAGUUGACAUUAAUCAACUCAUUAUUCCUCACAGAUUUGUAUUCUCCAGAGUAUCCAGGUCCUUCUCAGAGAAUUAAAAAGCCUGUACAGGUCUAGAUAUUGGUAUUUUUAAUUGAUGAUAAGCUGGAAUAAUAUUAAUACACACAAAGCACGUGUUGUAACUUUCAUUAUGCUUCCUUAGAGGUAAGAUGCAAAUUUGCCCUUAGCCAGUGUAAGAUGGUAAAUAUGACUUCAUAAA
ensembl:lncRNA LINC01409 long intergenic non-protein coding RNA 1409